rnacentral:rRNA from 1 species
GACGAACGCUGGCGGCGUGCUUAACACAUGCAAGUCGAACGGAAAGGCCCUGCUUUUGUGGGGUGCUCGAGUGGCGAACGGGUGAGUAACACGUGAGUAACCUGCCCUUGACUUUGGGAUAACUUCAGGGAACUGGGGCUAAUACAGGAUAGGAGCUCCUGCUGCAUGGGGGGGGUUGGAAAGUUUCGGCGGUUGGGGAUGGACUCGCGGCUUAUCAGCUGGUUGGUGGGGUAGUGGCUGACCACGGUUUUGACGGGUAGCCGGCCUGAGAGGGUUGCCGGCGACAUUGGGACUGAGAGACGGACCAGAAUCGUACGGGAGGCAGAAGUGGGGAAUAUUGCACAAUGGGCGGAAGCCAGAUGCAGCAACGCCGCGUGCGGGAUGACGGCUUUCGGGUUGUAAACCGCUUUCGCCUGUGACGAAGCGUGAGUGACGGUAAUGGGUAAAGAAGCACCGGCUAACUACGUG